rnacentral:lncRNA from 1 species
UAACAUUGCAUAACAGGUGUUCUAAAGGGAUCAAUGUUCUCACGGUUUUCAUGCAAACAGAAAAUGGACCUUGAACAAACUGUCAAAGAUCUCCAGACUCAGAAUGCCCAAUUCAAGGAGAUGAUGCUAAGCUUAUCCAAGGGGCAGGAGGAACUGAAGGCUCUUUUGCUCGAAAAGAAGAAAGACAAGAAAGCUGUGAGUUUCAUUAACCCGGGAAGAAGG